AAAUUGAAGAGUUUGAUCAUGGCUCAGAUUGAACGCUGGCGGCAGGCCUAACACAUGCAAGUCGAACGGUAGCACAGAGAGCUUGCUCUCGGGUGACGAGUGGCGGACGGGUGAGUAAUGUCUGGGAAACUGCCUGAUGGAGGGGGAUAACUACUGGAAACGGUGGCUAAUACCGCAUAACGUCGCAAGACCAAAGAGGGGGACCUUCGGGCCUCUUGCCAUCAGAUGUGCCCAGAUGGGAUUAGCUUGUUGGUGAGGUAACGGCUCACCAAGGCGACGAUCCCUAGCUGGUCUGAGAGGAUGACCAGCCA
rnacentral:rRNA from 1 species